rnacentral:rRNA from 1 species
UACGUAGGUGGCAAGCGUUGUCCGGAAUUAUUGGGCGUAAAGCGCGCGCAGGCGGCCUCUUAAGUCUGAUGUGAAAGCCCCCGGCUCAACCGGGGAGGGCCAUUGGAAACUGGGAGGCUUGAGUAUAGGAGAGAAGAGUGGAAUUCCACGUGUAGCGGUGAAAUGCGUAGAGAUGUGGAGGAACACCGGUGGCGAAGGCGACUCUUUGGCCUAUAACUGACGCUGGAGGCGCGAAAGCGUGGGGAGCAAACAGG